rnacentral:rRNA from 1 species
GAUGAACGCUAGCGGCAGGCCUAAUACAUGCAAGUCGAACGGAUAUAUGUUUUUCGGAAUAUAUAUUAGUGGCGCACGGGUGAGUAACACGUACAUAACUUGCCCUCAAGCGGGGGAUAGCCUUGGGAAACUGAGAGUAAUACCCCAUAGAAUUAUUGGACGGCAUCGUUUGAUAAUUAAAACUACGGUGCUUGGGGAUAGAUGUGCGUCUGAUUAGCUAGUUGGUGAGGUAACUGCUCACCAAGGCGACGAUCAGUAGGGGGCGUGAGAGCGUGGCCCCCCACACGGGUACUGAGACACGGACCCGACUCCUACGGGAGGCAGCAGUAAGGAAUAUUGGUCAAUGGAGGGAACUCUGAACCAGCCAUGCCGCGUGAAGGAUGACGGCCCUCUGGGUUGUAAACUUCUUUUGGAUGGGGCGAAAAAACGGGNUUUAUCCUGGACUGACGGUACCAUCAGAAUAAGCACCGGCUAACUCCGUGCCAGCAGCCGCGGUAAAGUAGUCG